AUUGAACGCUGGCGGCAUGCCUUACACAUGCAAGUCGAACGGUAACAGGUCUUCGGAUGCUGACGAGUGGCGAACGGGUGAGUAAUACAUCGGAACGUGCCUAGUAGUGGGGGAUAACUACUCGAAAGAGUGGCUAAUACCGCAUGAGAUCUACGGAUGAAAGCAGGGGAUCGCAAGACCUUGUGCUACUAGAGCGGCCGAUGGCAGAUUAGGUAGUUGGUGGGAUAAAAGCUUACCAAGCCGACGAUCUGUAGCUGGUCUGAGAGGACGAUCAGCCACACUGGGACUGAGACGCGGCCCAGACUCCUACGGGAGGCAGCAGUGGGGAAUUUUGGACAAUGGGCGCAGGCCUGAUCCAGCAAUGCCGCGUGCAGGAUGAAGGCCUUCGGGUUGUAAACUGCUUUUGUACGGAACGAAAAGCCCUGGGUUAAUACCCUGGGGUCAUGACGGUACCGUAAGAAUAAGCACCGGCUAACUACGUGCCAGCCGCCGCUGUAAGAC
rnacentral:rRNA from 1 species